rnacentral:rRNA from 1 species
CACGUAGGCACCAAGCGUUAUCCGGAUUUAUUGGGCGUAAAGAGCUCGUAGGCGGUUCGGUAAGUCGGGUGUGAAAACUCUGGGCUCAACCCAGAGAGGCCACCCGAUACUGCUGUGACUAGAGUGCGGUAGGGGAGCGGGGAAUUCCUGGUGUAGCGGUGAAAUGCGCAGAUAUCAGGAGGAACACCAGCGGCGAAGGCGGUUCUCUGGGCAUGUCCUGACGCUGAGGAGCGAAAGUGUGGGGAGCGAACAGG